UUGAUCGGCUUAGAAUGUAAUAACCCCUUCCACCGAGCCACGUCUCGAAAAUUAGCUGGGUCUUCGGACCUGACGAUUUGAGGAAGAGUCUCGCAUGCGAAGGUCAUGCUUUCAAAAAUUUUUGAACGAGUAAUGUGCAAGUAUGUGCAAAAUAAUCGUGUUUACGCGUCAUACGUCUCAAAGAAACUUACAAGCAAUCCAAACGAGAUACAGAAGACAAAACACAGACGAAGGCAGUUCCAAUAGCCAUGAAUUGUUGGGUGAGAGCAGAAUCGACUGUUAUCUGAAUUGUAAUUAUUUCCAGAGAAGAUACGAGAAUAUCAACUACGCUCAACUUGAUAAUUAAACAUUAGACAUCGGAAGUGAAACUUAUUUACCUUACAUCUCCUGUUCUUCCGUACAUCUUGUGAUAUGUCUUACAAGGAUAGUAUAAAUAUCUGACCAUCAACCUGAUAACGAAAUGAAAACAUUUUCCUGUUCAAUCUUAUAUUUAAAUGGACAAUCAAUCAAUGCUGUGUUUAUCGAAUGUUACUGAAUUUUUACAAAGAUUUUAUGAUGGCUACCGGAGUAUUGCUAUUGAUGAGAGGGACAUUAGGUCUCCUAACUGCAGCUAUCCUUAAGGUAUUGUAUCAGUUUAUAUAAAUCAAGAACCCAUAUAUCUUUCAACUAAUGUAAUGAAGAAUAUUAGAUAUGGGAAGCAAGAUGCUAGAUGAAGGAGAGCAGAUCGUAAAAACGUUGGAGGAAGCUGAUGCUUACGAAUUUAUUACAAAUGUUGCGAAUAAUCUGAAACCCACGUUGGUGAAGGAGGAAGCUAAUUAUCUGGUGUAUGAAAGCAGCAUGUUGCUUUUGCUAGAGCAUUAUUAUAGCUAUCAUCGACUUCAAUAUUGAAUUAUAAUUCAUGAGCGCAUUGGAUCGUUAUAACGGAAGAGUGGUUGAAGAAACGGCGGAAAAUUCUAACCAACGAAGGAACAUAGUUAGCUAUUGCUAUUGCGUGCAUUAUCGGAUUGAGAAUACCUAGGAAAAGGAAAGAGGAGAAAAAACAUUCGUUUUUCCGACGAAGUCAGGAAAGACCAACAUGGCAUUGUUUUAUUAAGCUUGGAACGGCGGUAAGAGGAAAUGGGAGGGAUUUACCUUUUUCAAAGGAUUCAAACGUAAGCGGCUUUGACUGUAAGUCACGUGGGAUUGUACUUAGAGAGAUUUGUCGAAGGGCCGUCGGACGUUCUACGUCGGGGCAAUGGUCAAAGGGGGAUUGAAAUAAAACUGAGGGAGGUAACAUACAGGGACGAUGAAAAGAUUCACCGUUUUUGUAGUAAUAACGUUAACAGGGAAAUAUUUUUAAAUUAUACGGGAAAUGGAAAGUCCACGGACACGUCAUCGUUAUCCCAUCGCUUUAAAUUAGGUAACCGUUCGAUAUGAUUAAGAAAGGAAAAAUGCUGAAUUCUAUAUUUCAAAUUGUUUGUCAUAAUAUUCACGACAUGUCAUUAAAAAAUAUUCGUAAUAUUUAAUUAGCGAUCUUCAUAAACAUUGAAAUUUGGACGAAGUCCUUUGGUGCGUAGCGCGAAUUACCGAUUAUUAUUACGUUCUCCCGUACUUAUCGUCAAGUACUUUCGUUUUAAUCCUUUCAUUAUUCCAUCUGCGUGUGCUUUGGUGCGCCCCUAUCUGCGCCAGUUCGAAUGGACGGGUUUGAGUGCCUGGUCCUGUGUGAGUGUAUGCGUACGACUCCUGUCUUAUCUUGAUAAUAAGGGAAAUAUGUUUUCAUUUGUUUUCCUAUCAUCAGACCAAGCAGAUAAAUGGAGAUUAGCUCUAUAGUUCAAUCGUCUAUUAAAAUACAUCGUUUGAUAACACGGUUACAUAUUCUGCAGAGCAAUGGACUAUUUUCUCAGCAUCAGAUUGAUUUGGACCAUGAUAUGCGAAAUAUUAUAUAACUGGAGGUAGAAUGGGAUCAUUGUUUUGCCUUCUCCGAUAGGGAGUAAAUUUCUAGGAAAAUGUACCCGUUCAUGCAGAAGAAUCAAAUUAGUCGUGGUAGAUGGAUCUGCAAAAGACUUAACCAGAUUAAAUGAUACGGCUAAAUAGAUAAUUGAAUUAUACCGCUAAUCUUAUCAUCGAAUUGUUUGCUUGGUUUUGUGAGAGGAAAACUAAUGACAAAAUACCUUUCUUGUUUUCAAAUCAAGAGAAGAGAUGUACGCAGACAGGCACACUCAUUCUCGCCCACUUGAACUCGCGUACGUAAACGCGCAUGUAAGCGCGCAGGUGCACGGAGAGAGGUAAUAAUAAAUCGUUUAGUAUGAUGGUGCUGGACGGUAAGUACGAGAGUAGGUAGGCGGUACGUGCAGGUCGUUAAACCCCGAUCAAUACCCGUUAACAGGAGAAUUUAUAAACAUGGAGGAUCAUAUGUCUUUGCAAAAAAAUUAAAAUUUUGUUCUUUAUAAUAUUCUACGACGUCUAUGAUAAAUAUUGAAUCAAUUCUCUUUCCACUUUAUGAUCCCUCGCAUUAUAUCUCCGUUUUUUUGUUGGAUGUAAUGACUAUCACUCUUCUCGUUUUCUUCCCUAAUAAUAUUUAUUUUUUGUUACGUAUCUGUAUAAAUGUCUAUGUGGAAUUCCUCUUCGGUACUACUUAUGACACGAAACUCACUCGUGUUUGGAUAGUUUGCCAUUCUCUUAAUGAAAAAGAAAGAAGUAAAUAAACGUGUUGAUAAUCUCAAAUUGUAUAUUACGAAAUCACGAAACGAUAUAUACCAAAAGAAUAUUACGUUUCAGAUUUUCUGGCUUAUUAGUCCAAGGAACUAUCUAUUUCACUAUAAGUUUCAAUACGAAGCGAGUUUAGCUUCGAAAAUAUCUGCUCAGUUUUAUGAUUACUUGUUUACUCCAUCAAAUAUCGCUACCUCGUACGGGGCGUACUCGCGUACUAUUGCAGACAAUUCGUUAUCACUCUCUUUAAGUGGUUUAGUGAAUCCUCCAGACCAUUGUGAAUGUCCUUCUUUUUCGUAGAACCGACUGAUAUACUUUUCAUAUAACUUGGUAAUUUGACCACUCCUCGAUCCAAUGACUGAGCGGUUUUCUCGGCGGGACAAUACGGGAAAGAGGGGAAGGUAAUAUUAGGAAACCAUAAAUAUGACAAAAGAUUUUCUCCGAAUACGUUUUUUUACCAUUGUGCAAUAACGAAAAUGAAUUCUUCGAUAACAGGAGCAAUAUGCAUUUGUUUACAAGAAAGGAAUGUAAUAUUUGGAGAAAAUGUUUUCAAAGAACAAGGAAGUAGAUAUAACUUCCGACGAAAAAAUUUUUUUUUUCGUCGGAAGGUAUUUCUACUUCGGCAUUCCUUGAUAACAUAUGUAUCUUAUAUUACCUUUCAUCCUUGUAAACAAAUACCUAUUGCUUAACAAAGACUUCCUUUUCUUUAUUACGCAAUAGUAAUAAAAUAUAUGGUUUCAGAUAAAAUCUUUUCUCCUAUUUAUCUUUUUAUCGUAAUAUUACCUUCUUUCCUUUUACAUAUUUCUUCUCCGGGAGGAGCUCAGAGUUAUUUAAUGAUUAUGGAGGAACCACUGUUUCCACCGCAACUUUUUGAGAAAUUCAUAUUUCUGUGAAGUUUUCUGUUGAAACGGCACAAUAAAACAAAUCAAAAAAUCGUCCAAUUACUAAGUUAUACGAAAAGAAUAUCAAUCGAGUUCACAAAGGAGAACACGGGAAAUGCUUUCACGACAGUCUGAGCCCUUCUCUGAUCCGCUUAAGGAGGGUUGUACGAAGAACUUGUAUAUAUAGUGAUAUUUGAUGAAGUAAACAUUCGAUCAUAAUACUGGAGAGAGAUUGUCAAACCUGAAACGAGUUCUUAUUAAAGCUUGUAGUAGUAUAAAUUGAUCCCUCGACUAAUUAAUCAAAAAACCAGUAAAGUAUUAUAUUGUUGUUAUGUAUCAUUCCGUGAUUUCGUAAACUGCGAUUAUCUCCAUUUCAUUUAUUCAUCCAUUUUUUUUUAUUUUUUUUUUUUUUUUUUUUUUUGAACGGCAAAUUGAACGGCAAAGACAUACCUACAAGACUCAUG